ACCCCAGGUCAGGCGGGACCACCCGCUGAGUUUAAGCAUAUCAAUAAGCGGAGGAAAAGAAACUAACAAGGAUUCCCCUAGUAACGGCGAG
rnacentral:rRNA from 1 species